rnacentral:rRNA from 1 species
UACGUAGGUGACAAGCGUUGUCCGGAUUUACUGGGCGUAAAGAGCGCGCAGGCGGUCGGAUAAGUCGAAUGUGAAAGCCCCCCGGCUCAACUGGGGAGGGUCAUUCGAUACUGUUCGACUCGAAGGCAGGAGAGGGAAGUGGAAUUCCCGGUGUAGUGGUGAAAUGCGUAGAUAUCGGGAGGAACACCAGUGGCGAAGGCGACUUCCUGGCCUGUUCUUGACGCUGAGGCGCGAAAGCUAGGGGAGCAAACGGGG